rnacentral:rRNA from 1 species
AAUAUUGCACAAUGGGCGAAAGCCUGAUGCAGCAACGCCGCGCGAGGGAUGAAGGCCUCAGGGUCGUAACGCCCUUUGAUCAGGGAUGAUAAUGACAGUACCUGCAACACAAGCAACGGCUAACUACGUGCCAGCAGCCGCGGUAAUACGUAGGUGGCGAGCGUUGUCCGGAAGUACUGGGCGUAAAGGAUGCGUAGGUGGAUACUUAAGUGGGAUGUGAGAUCCCCGGGCUCAACCCGGGAACUGCAUUCCAAACUGGGUAUCUAGAGUGCAGGAGAGGAAAGCGGAAUUCCUAGUGUAGUGGUGAAAUGCGUAGAUAUUAGGAGGAACACCAGUGGCGAAGGCGGCUUUCUGGACUGUAACUGACACUGAGGCAUGAAAGCGUGGGUAGCAAACAGG